UGGACCUGGUUGUGUUAGAUAUGUCUGUUUGUUAGCAUCAAUCAUACAUAAACCAUGCAUAUACAUGCAUAAUUAUAACAUGCAGAUAUUCAUGUUGCAUUCUUUUCCAUAUAUCUUUGUUUGUUGUCUCCUUCUAUUUGGUGAUAUAUGUUUCCCCAAGCAGAUGUUGGUGUUUGAUCUCUCCAUAUAGAGUCAGCCCCAUAGGCAGAAAGUGUCUACCCUUUC
rnacentral:lncRNA from 1 species